UUGGGUUCUGGGGUUCUGGUGGGUUCUGGUGGGGUUUGGUUUGGUUCUCCAAGGGUUUUGUUGAGUUCUGGUGGGAUUCCAUUGGGUUCUUGUUGGGUUUUGGUGGGUUCUCCAAGGGUUCCAUUGGGUUCUGGUGGGGUUUGGUGGGUUCUGGUGGGUUCUGGUGGGGUUUGGUUUGGUUCUCCAAGGGUUCUGGUGGGUUCUGGUGGGGUUCCAUUGAGUUCUGGUGGGGUUCUGGUGGGUUCUGGUGGGUUCUGGUGGGGUUUGGUGGGUUCUGGUGGGUUCUGGUUGGGUUCCAUUGAGUUCUGGUGGGGUUCUGGUGGGGUCUGGUUGGGUUCUGGUGGGUUCUCCAAGGGUUCCAUUGACUUCUGAGCUUUGGUUGGGUUCUGGUUGGGUUUGGUUCGGUUCUCCAAGGGU
rnacentral:lncRNA from 1 species